GAAGGUACAGCUAAGUGGUAGAGUGCAAGCCUUGCAUGCAUGAAGUCCAGGGUUCAAUCCCCAGUGCCUCCA
rnacentral:tRNA from 1 species